rnacentral:rRNA from 1 species
UACGUAGGGUGCAAGCGUUAAUCGGCAUUACUGGGCGUAAAGCGUGCGCAGGCGGUUGUGCAAGACCGAUGUGAAAUCCCCGGGCUUAACCUGGGAAUGGCAUUGGUGACUGCACGGCUAGAGUGUGUCAGAGGGGGGUAGAAUUCCACGUGUAGCAGUGAAAUGCGUAGAGAUGUGGAGGAAUACCGAUGGCGAAGGCAGCCCCCUGGGAUAACACUGACGCUCAUGCACGAAAGCGUGGGGAGCAAACAGG